rnacentral:hammerhead_ribozyme from 1 species
AUUCAACUGACGAGUCCAAAAUAGAACGAGAUGCGCCCCCUGGAU